AACGAACGCUGGCGGCAUGCCUAACACAUGCAAGUCGAACGAAACCUUCGGGUCUAGUGGCGCACGGGUGCGUAACGCGUGGGAACCUGCCCUUAGGUUCGGAAUAACUCCCCGAAAGGGGUGCUAAUACCGGAUAAUGUCUUCGCACCAAAGAUUUAUCGCCUUUGGAUGGGCCCGCGUUGGAUUAGCUAGUUGGUAGGGUAAAAGCCUACCAAGGCGACGAUCCAUAGCUGGUCUGAGAGGAUGACCAGCCACACUGGGACUGAGACACGGCCCAGACUCGUACGGGAGGCAGCAGUGGGGAAUAUUGGACAAUGGGCGAAAGCCUGAUCCAGCAAUGCCGCGUGAGUGAUGAAGGCCUUAGGGUUGUAAAGCUGUUUUACCCGGGAUGAUAAUGACAGUACCGGGAGAAUAAGCUCCGGCUAACUACGUG
rnacentral:rRNA from 1 species